GGGCAGGUGGAGAAAUUGGUAGACUCGCAGGCUUGAGGGGCCUGUGGCUGCAAAGCCGUGGAGGUUCAAGUCCUCUCUUGCCCA
rnacentral:tRNA from 1 species